rnacentral:rRNA from 1 species
GAUGAACGCUGGCGGCGUGCCUAAUACAUGCAAGUCGAGCGAACAGACGAGGAGCUUGCUCCUCUGACGUUAGCGGCGGACGGGUGAGUAACACGUGGAUAACCUACCUAUAAGACUGGGAUAACUUCGGGAAACCGGAGCUAAUACCGGAUAACAUGUUGAACCGCAUGGUUCAACAGUGAAAGACGGUCUUGCUGUCACUUAUAGAUGGAUCCGCGCCGCAUUAGCUAGUUGGUAAGGUAACGGCUUACCAAGGCAACGAUGCGUAGCCGACCUGUGAGGGUGAUCGGCCACACUGGAACUGAGACACGGUCCAGACUCCUACGGGAGGCAGCAGUAGGGAAUCUUCCGCAAAGGGCGAAAGCCUGACGGAGCAACGCCGCGUGAGUGAAGAAGGUCUUCGGAUCGUAAAACUCUGUUAUUAGGGAAGAACAAAUGUGUAAGUAACUAUGCACGUCUUGACGGUACCUAAUCAGAAAGCCACGGCUAACUACGUG